AGAGGAGAUAAGAGAAACGAUAAGGUUUGAAUUAUUAAAAAAAAUUUAAUGCUUUUUUUUAUAGAGAGAGAGAGAGAGAGAGAGAGAGAAAGAUAGUAUGCUAUCUGUUUUAUUUUUUUUUUAGAGAUAAAUUUAGCUGAAAAUAUGAAGCAACUAAGCUUUGCACUUGAAACUUCAGAUAACAAUCAUCAAAUUUUUUGUCACUUGCGAUAGAAAUUGUCGGUAAUUUUAAUGCUUUUUUAUUCAACUAUCUGAACUACAGUUUAUGAUACUAUUAAUUGUACUAUACUAUUACUUGAACUUUAAAAAUAAAUUUAGCUGAAAAUAUGAAGCAACUAAGCUUUGCACUUGAAACUUCAGAUAACAAUCAUCCAAUUUUUUGUCACUUGCGAUAGAAAUUGUCGGUAAUUUUAAUGCUUUUUUAUUCAACUAUCUGAACUACAGUUUAUGAUACUAUUAAUUGUACUAUACUAUUACUUGAACUUUAAAAAUAAUCCGAACUAGAAUAAUAAAAAUAUUCAAUAAUUCCCGAUGAAGAAAAUUGAACUUGAGGGGCGUCUACAUUAGAGAGGAUUUGAUAUAUGUUUACCGUUUUUGUCCAAACUUUUUUAUUGGCCCCAAACUUAUAGUAAUUUACAAACCUUUUAAAUUUAUUGAACUCAGAGGUGGUGGGAGUUGCAAAUUUAGAUAUUUAUUGGAUGCACUCUUGUGCGUAAAUAACAGAAAUAAAAUAAAAUUAUUUAAGAAUUUAUUAGGGACUAGAAUUGCCGAACUUGAACGGUCGAGGACCAAUUUGAAAUUGCCUAAAGUUUGGGGGCGGUGCAAUUUGUUUACCCAUUGUCGAAAUCCAAAUGUUUUGGGUGGUAAAAGUGAAGCGUUCUCAAAGUUCAGGGACUGGUAGUGCAAUUUGCCCGCAUCACGGGUACAAAUUAGUAGACCUUAGCGGGCCCCACAACGGCCAGGUGAGCCAAUAGGAGAGCAGGAGAGAGACCAACGUCAAAAGUGUGGGCCCCACGUUGAUGUAACGUAUUCACGUAUGCGCGCAUGGAUCCACGGAUGGGCCCCCACGUACGUACAAGCUGUCCCCCCUACCUACGUCCGCACGAAAACCUCAUUAUGCGGGGGGCGAUCAAGAUCGGUGAUCCGAUUCCCAAGGGAUGCGACGAUCGUGGCCGUUGGAUUGUGGAUGAGGUACGUAAUCAUUUUGUGUCGUGCGCCUUUCACGGUGCCGUGAUUGUGAUCGUCCUUGAAACAACACUACUACGUAUCUUUUGAGACGUUGGAUCAUUCCGGAAAAUAGUUAAUCGCAGAUAAUUAGUAAAAAAAAAAAAAAAAUUAAUGUAAUUGAAUUUCUUAUAAAUUUUUGUCAUCGUGAAAAAUACAGAUCGAAGAUAGCACUCUUAUCCAAACAGCAAAAUACAACGCCCAAACUAUUAUUAUUAGAAGAUGAUAGAUUACCACAAAUGCAAAAGGUCAAUCAAUGAUUAGUGUUAAAGAAGAUCACAAAAGUAUUGGACAACAAAGGAUUUACGAAAGUGAGAUUAGUUAGAUGAUUAUCAGGUGGCGGAUGAGGUGUUUGGUGGGAAGAAGAUCUGCUUUAAUUGGACUGUUGUUUUGUUAGAAAAAAAAAAAAUUUAAAAUUUCUACAAACACUUUGUUAUGCUGCAAAAAUUUUUUUUUUUUUUUGAAAGAAAGGUAGCAUGCUAUCCGUUUCGUUUAUUUUAUUAAGAAAUAAACUUAGCUGAAAAUGUGAAUCAACUAGGAUUUGAACAUGGGUCUCGAAUUCCAACCCCAAACCUUUUUGUCACUUGCGCUAGGGACGAUCGGUAUUAUGCUGCAAAAGUUAGAAUAUAAAUUUUAUAAUUAUAACUAAAAGUAAAAAUAUUAUCAUAUAGACACUUAAAUAUUUUAGAAAUAAUAAUUGGGAGAUUAAAAAGUAAUAAUUUGGCAUGAUAGGUAAUCAAAGCUUAAUCUCAUCAAAGCAAAGGACGAGGCUAAGAUUGAAAUAUUUGGCACAUUCAAACAUGUACUUGAUAAAAUUUUAAGUGCCAAAAUGAAACACUCAAACGUUAGUUACAAACAAAACAAGUUCGUUAGGAGCUCACGGGUGUAAAAUUCCGUUAACCGGUAUUUUAGCAACGGGGUUUGGGACACGACCGUGAGACCCGUUCCCACCCCCCCUCUCCUCACCUCUAACUCCCCAACGAGAGCCCUACGUCGCCCUCUCUCUCUCUCUCUCUCUCUCUCUCUCUCUCUGACGCGCACUCUGAAAAAGGAAACCCUAGAAGAAGAAGAGGACGACGAGGAAGAGAAGGGGCGAAGCGAAGCCCCAGAGGGGGAGGGAGACGAGGAAGGAGACGAAGAAGCCCCUCGAGAUCCGAUCCUUUUUUUUUCUUUUUUUUUUUUGGUUUUGCUUUCGCUCUCUCUCAAUAUGCUUUAAUAUGCUUUCCCUCUGACAUCCGUCGAUUCUUCUCGUGCUUUUAUGCUUCCUUUUGUCGCUAAUGGCCCUUCUUUUCCCCGCCGCAUUUUUUUCGAAUUUUUUAUGGUGAAAAGGAGCUCGAUUUGUGUGGUUGCUUCUCGAUUCGGCCAUCCGGGGGGAAUUGAGGGGGUUUAGGAUUCGAAAAGGCGAAUUUUUGGGUGGAUUUGGGGUGAGUUGUGGUGGAAUUUUGGGGAUCGGAUGCUGGGGAUGGACGGAGGGAGGGACCUGCGGCGGAGCGUGACGCUCUCGGACCAGCUCGCCGCCGGGUACUCGUCCUCCUCCUCGUCCAAUAACCUCCGGGACCUCCUCAAGGUCCGCGACGACGACGACAACAACGAGAUCCGCCACCUCGGCCGCCGCGCCUCCGUCGCCGGCGACGGCUCCACCCUCGCCUCCGCCAUCGCCGCCGAGAAGGCCGGCGUCUCCGACGGCGGCGCCGCCGGGGGCCGGACCCUCCUCGAUAUCAUCCGGGAGGAGCAGGGCGGCGCUUCCCCCGCCGAUGCCGACGCCGUCGAAGGCGACGCCGGCGCCGGCGCCGGUGCCGGUGCCGGGAAUGGGAUCAACUGGAGGUCGUUCAAGGACAGGCUCCGCAUCGGCCGCACCGGCGCCGCCGCGUUCGCGUCCUCCGCCACCGCCGCGCCGAUCUCCGACCCCGAGCUCGUCCCGUCCCUCCGCGCGAACCCUAACCCUAGCCCCGGCCCUGGCCUCGGCUUCCCCCGCUCCCUCUCCAUCCGCCCCUUCUCCGCCGCCGCGCAGGAGCCCUCGGCCCCGGGCGGAGAAGAGCCCGACGCCGACUCACCAGUCGGGGCUCCCGCCAACCCUAGCUCCACCGCCCUCUUCCGCUCCUUCUCCAUCCGCCGCCCCCGGUGGCGGCGGAGGAGGAGGAGCAGCCGGUGAGGGUGUCUCUGAUGGCGUUGCUGGAGCAAACGGACCGGCAAUGGGCCGGCGGAGACGGGGCGGAGGGGGAGUCCCCUGUGACGGCAACAGCGUUGGCGGCGGCGGCAGAGGGGGAAGAGGAGGCGGAGGAGGAGGACGGAGGGGACGAUGGGGAUGCGAAGGGGGGUAUGUACCACGUGUGCUGCGUGUGCAUGGUGCGGCACAAGGGGGCCGCUUUCAUCCCCUGCGGCCACACCUUCUGCCGCCUCUGCUCCCGCGAGCUCUGGGUCAGCCGCGGUAACUGCCCCCUCUGCAACGGAUUCAUCCUCGAGAUCCUCGACAUCUUCUAGAGCCCCUGCCACCGCUGCCGCCACCAAUACCGCUCGCUGCCCCCGCCGCCGCCGCCGCCACUGCCACUACCACUACUUUUAUUAUGGUAAAUUCUCCUCUUAUAUGAAUACUUGAUUUUUAGAUGAUGUUACUCAUUUGAGAUAGUGGAGUAGUGCUGUGGAUGGGGUAAUUCUCAAAUUGUCAUCUCAUUGUUGUUACUGUCAUUGUUUGGUGAGUUGGGCUCGGCUACUCUCGAUAGUAUUUGAGGACAAAUAUUUUUAUUUUUCGACUUACAUCCGUCGGAUGCAUAUUAUGAUUCACUGCCAAAUUGGUUACAGGUCUAUUACUUGUUAUAUGCAUGAUGAUUCUCUAGAAAACGAUGAUUCCCAUAAAUGAAUAAAACACCAUUCUCGAGUAACAAAUCCUUUCAGCAAAAAAAAAUGUUGAUUCACUUGUUAUCUGAGCAGAAUGUUUUGGAAUUAAGAUUUUCAUAUUCCUAGUCUCGUUUCGUAUCGCCAACUCAUGAAUCAGAAUGCACAACUGAUGAAUAAAAAGUCGAGAAUAUUUACCCUCUAAUGCUCUCUACGGUAGCCAAUUCCAACUCUUUAUUUGGUUGUCUAAAUUGUCCCGGUCUUUGGGUGUCUGGUCAAGUGGUACCUCAAAGGAGGGGGGAUAAUGUCAUAUUGUCAUGACAAUGAUCAUAAUAAUCAUAGUAAUUGUAAUAUUUCUCUUAAAUGAUGAUGGACAUUAAAUUUCUUUCUAAUUUUUCGUCUUCUAAGCUUUGCAAGGCAUAGUUCGUAGCGGUUGGCUUAUUUAGGUGUUAGAUUUCUUUUGUUUUAGUUGUCGAUUCAUAUAUUAAACCUAGAAUAUAGUUGUGAUUUCUUUUUUUGAGAUGUUCUCGUGUCCCUUUCCGAGUAAAUUUUUGUUUUUUUAUCCAAAAACUAUCCGACUGUUUCUACAAUAAAAUGAAGUCACUUUAAUUUUCCCUUAGCUUAUACAAUCCUAGGUGUUUUAUUGCCGACAUAGUUGGAUUAUUAAGGACAACCCAGUUUCAGUUGAUUGGAAUUGCAGGUUUUGGAAUAACCUAGAAUAAGUAACUUGACCAGAGCAAUUGUUUUCAUGUCUCUUCACCGAUAGAGUUUUUAUGUCCUUUUCUUUUCUUAAAAAGUUGUUCAUGCAAUUUGAGCCAAGCAAAACUGAAUUAUUGUCCUAGCAUCCUCUCUCUAUAGAUUGUUUCAGAACACCAGAGGAUUUUUUGUAAUUUUUUGUUCUCUUUACUUUAUGGGAGAUAAUAAUAUGAGGGAUUUUAUUGCCUUGUUAUUAUCCCCCACCCAAAUAGUGCCUUAAAAACUACAUAUCUUUUUCUUUUCUUUCUUUUUUUUUCCCACCUUACAGAUUUGUAAAAUUUUUAAUGGCUUACUACAAAAUAUAUGCGAUAUUUCGAUUUGCGUUGUGUCAUUUUAACCCCUGCUCUAUGGUCUAGGUAGUAUAAACAAGCUUUUCUCCACUGUCGCUUCAAAUGAGAAUCUAUGUUUUUCACGUGCUUCCUUGGGACCUUUUUCACCUCCCAAUCAAAUGGUUUGCUUGAAUCCAAUUCUCUUUUCCCUCACUCUUCUUUUUGACCCAUCAGAUUUGGUGAGUUGGAGGUUUCCUUAGUCAUAUAUUGUAUUAGUGAAUCAUACUAAUCUUUCAAUUACACUAAUCUCACCGAUCAAUUCGGUUUUACUGCAAUAGAAGUUUUGUACUAUUGAUUACUAUUUUGCUAAAAGCAGGAAAAAUGGAGUAAAACAGGCCCCAACCCAAUCCUCUCUCUCAUCUUAGACAUGUAAAUAUAAAUAUACAUAUCCCCACAAAAUUGCUUCUUCAGCAUCAUGCCAAAAAGAGCUCCAAAUUCUCUAUUUGCUUCUCCCCAUUAGUGAAGUGCUGUUCCCAAGAUAUUUCACAUAAGAUAAUGGCUUUGUGGGGACUGGAUGGGGAGGAGAAGUUGCUUCUGUUUUGUCCAGAGUGAAAGGAUGCAUGUGAUGCUGUUCCCAAAUAAAAGGAAAAAAAAAUAUGCACUGGUUUGGUUGUUGGUCUACUACUCGACUCUCUCAUCAAAGCUUUAUCCCUUUUCAUUUUAUCAUAUCAGCUUUCGUUAACAGUUGGGAUUGUGAUAUCUUUGGAUUCUGCUCAUCUUCUUAUUGUGGCUCCCACUUCACUCCUAAUUAAUUUCUAGCUUGACCCAGCUCAUCAUUUCUCCCCUCUUAGCCGGCCUUGUCUAAAUACAAUAAUAAUAAUAAAACAAUAGGGUUAUUUCAAUUUUUAGAAUGUUUGUUACUGAUCUCAAUCAUGUUUUGUUCGUCAAAAUGCUCUCAGUAAUGUUUGGUGCUGUUGCGGCAAAUAUGUGGUCUGAUGUUGAUCUGACAAUUUUUUGUCGAAAUUAUUGAGCAUUUGACAGCAGGGAUAUGACAGAUGAUUAAUGAGUGUCUAAGAGAAUUGCAAAAGUUUGUGAAAGUUGGGGACCGAUGACGCAAUUAAGCGAAAAUAAUAUGUAAUGAUCAAAGAUUAAGAAAACUCUGGAGGAGGUGGGGGACCAAACAGAGAGAGGGUUAAACUUUGUUAUCAAAGGGAGCAAUCUUAGCAUAUACCAAUUAAAUCUUCUGACAGAUGUUUAGAGAGAGAGAUAGAGAGAUGGGGAUCAAGUAACCAAAACUUUUUAAGAAAAAAAAAAAAUGUAUAUAGAGGGAAGGGAGAGUGAGACCUAAACAGGGUUAGGCUUAAAUUAACAAGUAAUAUGAUUCCAUAUAACAGUACCUUUUCCAAUUUUCCAUUUUUUUUUUUCAAUCCCAAGCUCAGAGCGUGGCCCAACGGAGCAGCAACCAUAACCUUAUCCCAUUACUGUGAACUGACCUUUUCUGAUUCUUUUCUAUUUUUUCUCGAUCGUAAUCUAGUAACCGUGCUCGAUUUGUAUGUACGCGAUAACGCGAAAGAGAGGGUGUGAGAGCCGCGGCCACAUGGGAGUGGGGGACCAAAUCACAGUAUAGGUUUAAACCAAUCUGGGUCGUGACGGAAUGGACGGUGGAUGAUUCGGCGGUCCACGACUGACCUGGUGAACCAGCUGGGAGCAAUAAUUUCUCCCCCCCUCACCGAACACAUGGUUAGGUUUCAGUGACUCUGCAGAGGCAUAAAAGCACUGCAACCGAGCAAGUACCAACCCCAACCGUACCAUUGAUUGUGCCCAUCACAAAAUCAGUAAGGGGUAGAACUAGAACAGAAAAAGCUGUUCUUAACUAUCUUUCAUGGAAGUGAUCAUGCAUGAUGCAUGCCCAGUUAAUGCAGCCAAGAUGGUUCUACUGAGGAGAUUAGAGCAGUGAACUUCUUCAAAUUCUCACAACUGCUAUCGAUAAAUCGACAGAUUUCGCUAAAAACAUAUGCUGUUACUUCCGAAUUAGGGUACUCAAAAGUUAAUCCUCAGCUAUAGUUUCUUUCCUCAAGUAACAGAGUAAUCUGCUAGGCCGCAAAAUAUUCUGUCGAGACCGUUAAAGAUAUUAUCAAUAGAACGAAAAAUGUUGUAAAGUUAGAUAGUUGAAUCAAAAUUUUUAAUGUUCACUCAAAAUGACCGGACCGGGCCGAGUCAGGUUGGAUGAAAAGAGCGAAUCCUGGGUCGGGCCGGAUCAACAAAAGGAAGAGAACAGACCCUAAGAACACUUUUUUUAGAGAAAAGUAGCAUUCUAUCCGCUUCGCUUAUUUUUUUAAAAAAAUAAAUUUAGUAUUUUUAGUUUUAAAAAAAUAAAUUUAGCAGAAAAUGUAAAACAACUAGGUUUUGAGUUUGAAAUAUCAGAUUUUAAUUACUAAACACUUUGCCACUUGCGAGAGGACGGUUGGUGGCGCAAAGAAAACUUACUGUCUUACUUUAUCUAAGUUAAUAGAAAUAAGAUAAGCCUAUAACAACUGGUCCAGUGAGAAGGACAAUCAGAGAGUGGAGCUGAAAGACAUCCUGCAUUGGGGUUUGGUUAGCAGCUUGAAAAUUAGCAACAAAAGGACAGAAAAAGUAAACAAGUAUUAUCUCAUCAAAAGCAGAAACAACAACCUAUUGCCAACUACUGUAAGUACAAUGCUAACUACUACAUAAGAUGCUACUCCAUAGGUCAAAAAGUGGCACUUCCCAAAAUUAGACAGCAAAUGAGGGAAAGGGCUUGUACAUAUCCCUGUAGAAUCAUUUAUUCACAAUUUCUACUACUGAAAAAUCGGAACCUGCAUAUAUACCCUUUAUUAAGAAGGUGCAGCUUUUACAAAAAUAAGCUUAUUAGUAAGUACAAGGGUAUAUAUAUAUANCUGAUUUACCUCUCUUAGAAGACUAAUAUUGAAAAUACCAUUUUUACUCUCCAAUCUAUUUCAAAUAUACCCCUAGAGUUAAAAUCUGCUAAUGAACUCUGUUAUCUCUGUAAAAUUACUAUUUUGCCCUUUCAAAUAUACCCUUCUACCAUCACUGACUUUCUUAUUUGCCCUUAAAGUCAGGGACACAAAAACUAUUUUGACUUUUGGUCUUUUCCAAUAUAUCCCUCUACCAUCACCAACAUUUCUUAUUUGCUCUUAAGUUAAGGGCAAAAUUAGCAUUUUAAUUUUUUUUUAACUGUGGUAGAUAUUUAACUCACGUUAAAAAAAAAAAAACUUAACAAGAGAUAACUGCGGGAGUAUUUUGCAAUAACGGUGGAACACAUGAGGGAUAUUUUACAAAGAAAAAAAAUGUAUGGAUAAAUCGGAUAUUUUCAAGCGUACGAGAGGUAUAUAGGCAAUUAUCCCAUAUAUAUAUAUAUAUAUAUAUAUAUAUANUUAAGCCUCCUUUUUCCUUACUUUGUUUUUCUAAACUAUUUUCCUUGCAAAGAGUUGGGCUUUUUUUUAUCCCAACCUAUAUUUUCUCAUGGACAGCUUUAUGUGGCGGUUUCCCGCAUUACUAGAGAAGGGUUGCGCAUUUUCAUAGAUAAUAAAGACGGAGAAUCUCGAACUUUUUUAUAAAACAAUCCUAUAGAAUUUUAAAAUUUGCAAAAUAACCUUCUCAAUAUUAUAUUUGUAAAACUAACGCUACUUUCGCCACGUAGGCAUUGGAGUGGAUAUUUCUUAUGAAGGCGGUGAAUCGUUCACCGCCUUUACGCCUUCCUAAUUUUCCACAAAGGUGGUGAACGAUUCACCGCCUUUUGCUUAUUUAUUGUUUCUAUAUCCCAUAUAUAAUUCUAACAACCACAUAAAAAUUUUAACAAAUCAUAUAUAAUCUUAACAACCUAAAAAUUCUAAUAAUUUAUCCAUACAAUUUUAUAUAAUCUUAACAAUCUGAAAGGAUUGUAUGUGGAUCAAUAUAAUUUCAUAUAAUCUUGACAGUCUAAAAAUCCUAAGAAUCUAUCCAUAUAAUUUCAUAUAAUCUUAACAAUCUGAAAAUUCUAAUAAUCUAUCCAUACAAUCCUAACAAUUAAAUAAAAAUUCUAAUGAUCCACAUACAAUCCUAAUAAUCUCAUUUUUUUUCUAUUUCCUACAUAAUCCACUUUUCUAUUUCCUAUAUAAUCUACGUACAAUUUUAAUGAAUGCAGCGAACGAUUCACCGUAUUUAAAAAAAAUAGAAAAAAACGGUGAACACUGCCUUUAAAAAAAAAAAGAGAGAGAAGGCGGUGAACGAUUCACUGCCUUUAAAAGAAAUUGAAAAACGCGGAAAACGAUUCAUCGCUUUUCAAAAAAUACUCACACAUAGCUCCUACGUGGCGAAAAGAUGAUUAGUUUGCCACGUGGUGAAAAGAGAGUUAGUUUGCCAUGCGGCGAAAAAGGAUUAAUUUGCCAAAUAUAAAUUUAGCAAAAUUAUUUCACAAAUUAUAAAAUGUUAAAAGAUUAUUUUAUAAAAAAGUCCCAUAUAUGAAAAUCCUAGUUUUUCUUUUUGAGAAAAAGGUAGAAUCCUAGUUCUUUUUCUUUUUGUUUUCUAAGAGAAAGAAAAAGAUAACAUGCAAUCUGAUCCGUUCAAAUUUUUUUUUUUAAAAAAAAUGAGGUUAGCUGAAAAUGUAAAAUAGCUAAACUUCAAAUUUGAGAUCUGGACCAACCAUCAAACCCGUUACCACUUGACGCUAAGGGCGGUAGGUUGAAAUCCUACUUCUGAUUUCUGAAGUAGCACAUAUGUAAAACAGAAAAUUUGCAAGGAUAUGAAGGUAAAUAUCUCAAUUCUCAAAAGAAAUAAAAAAGAAGUCAAACAGAAAAUUAAAGGAAAAUUUAAAUUUCUGCAACCACCAAAAGCAUCACAAUCAGCAACUACAUAAUACAGGAACUAAACCGAAAAAGGAUUCAACAAGUAUAAAGGGCAGGAUCCAAUACCACACAAUGAUCCCUCUGAAACAUCCAAGUAUUUCAAACUACCUUAGAUAAAAGUAAUUGUACAAAAAAAAAAAAAAAACAAAGGACAAGAGGAGGAGAAAAAAAAGCAUGAGAGAGGAAUUAAACACACCAAAACAAAUCUGCAGAAAACUUAGUCCAUUCAACCUCUUGUUCUUGUGAUUGUAAUGCUGCCUUUUCCGCCUUCAGUGCGGAUCUUUGUUUUCACUACCACAGGUUUGCCAGAAAAGGCUGAAGUGGAGUAUGCAAUUGAAUCCUCAUCCUUUUUAUGCUUUAUUUUGGACAUGGGCUUAGCGUGAAUCCGUUCAUUUAUGUCGUGCAAAGUUAGAUCCCCGUGAGCUCCACACGGUUUAAUAAGGGCAAAAGGAUAAGCAACUGAAGUAGCAAACUUUGUAGGAGGAUCGAUGACAGACUCGCUACCUAAAACACAAGAUGAAGUGCAUAAGAUGCUACUAAUUAAGAGAACAAAUACGGCUGUUCGACACAAUUUUACUAAAGCAAUCAAUAGGAGGUAAACUAUAAGGCUGAAAGGUAGAGUUUCAUUGGAGGAUUCGUAUCACAGGGAUAGACAUAAAAACAGUCACGACAACCGUAGUUCAAUGUGUUAUCCCCAUUGGAUUUGGCUUGGGUGGUAGCAUGGAAGUAUGAGUUACCCAUGGUAUAGGUUUAGCCUUAGGAAUAACUGUGCAGCAUAAUCUAGCGUAAAAUUCUUUCUAUGUUCGAUGGGAGAGUACAGAAACUUUUACCACUGUGCCCAGCCUAUUUCCCAACCUUACUACACUAAUUAAAGCUAGACAUACCCGUAAGAAUCUUCAGUUGAGCAGGAAUAGAGCGGUCUUCGACUACAUUAGCUCCCGUUUCAGGUGAAAUAUUGUACAACUCUAAGUAAAAGAAAAGAGUACAAUAAUAUCACAUUUGGAAUUUUGUUGACUCUAGAAAAUGUCAGCGACAAUUCAAGAAGAAGGGAUUUCACUCACCAGAAACAUCAGGAUGGUCAGUAGAAGCCAUAGAAUUAUUCCUACAAGAAGGCAUAUGAUGACUUCCGUAAUGUGCUAAUAGUAACAGUAUAGGUGGUAGAAAGAGAAAAUAAAGGCAAAUUGCACCAUGGGUCCUAAAUCUUUAAGCAUAGUUUCAAUUUGGUCAUUGACCUUUCAAUGUAACAAUUUGGACCUCGACCUUUGCAAUUCGUUGCAAUCUUAUCCUUUUAUUUCAGUUCCUCCAUCAAACUGAAAUGACAAAUAGACAUAGUCGUCUUUAACAGAGACAUAACCAAAGUUCAGACUUCCAAUAUGGUGAUUUAUGUGCAUAAUUUCAUGUUGUUAUGUAAUGAAAAGAGCAACACGGCAACGGAAUACAAAAGUCACGGCCCCGAUUCAUGAAAUAUUGAAAGGCUAGGGACCCUUGGUGCAGUUUUCCCAAUAAAUAAUUCACAAAGUAAACCUAGACAUUUCUUUGGAGCCGCUAUUCUCCUUGCUUUCAUUUAAGCAAUCAACUAACCAUCCUUCUGACGAUUGAUCCAACCCAUCACAAUUUAAGGCACACUGAUCAUCUGAAUUAGGAGAAAGUUUUUUAGAAUAACUGUAGAGGUGAUAUUGAUUAGUUGGUUCAAGAUAAAUUAUAUAGGAAAGAACCUGAAAACUCGAAAUUCCAUUGUGAAUCCCAAUGAAAAUUUCCUGAAAUCCCAUCUUCCAUCAUUGAGCAUUCAGCCACCUACAAAAGUAUUUACAGAAAACAAAUGACAGGGGAAAUGAUAAAUAGGGUAAAAAAAAUGGCUACCCGGGUUUGGCUUAUAUUCCGGAACAUCUUCUCUACUCCAUAAGCAAUGGCCAAGUAUUUGGCGAACAAGAAGUUCGACGAGUUUGGAGCUUUUGCUAUGCCAUGAAGCUGCAAUUAGCUUAACCCUAAAAUAGAAGCUCUAAUUUGAAGUUUUACUUCUGCUACAGUGAGAAGUUACUAGGACUUGGGAAGAUUUUAAUGAAAAAUAUGUUAGUGCUUCUUCAAAAUUGUACUCAAAACAACAAUUCGUCAAAAGCACCAAAUAGGCCAAACUGGCAUUAAAGAGAUAAGAUGCUCUCUUUCCAAGUAGCCACUAUUAGAAUGAGAUGAGAGUUUUCGCCAACUACAAUAACCUCAUUGCCUUCAGAAGUAAAUUGCAGCAUGCGUCUUCUUUUGAUUUGCGAAGAAUCCAAACAUUCCUCCAACCCUUUGUCGCUGUAAUCUGAGUUCAACUCUCUCAUAUUAUAGUCUUCAGUAGAAAAUCUUGGUUACUACUGACCUAAUAUGCAUUAGUGAAAACAAUAUACCUCCUAUAUCAGAAACUUGGCAACUUAAUUCCGUGCAAUCCUUUAUUGGAGUUUGUUCAUCAAGCAUGUACAAAAAGCCGUUUUGAUUCACAUCACCCCACAAGCAGUGAGAAACAUCUGCGGAAAGAUAGAUUAUAAGAAGCAAUUCGAAUCUUCAUCAGAGAAUUCCCAAAGAUUGAUUACAAUAUCCACAUACCAUUCAGUGAUACUCUCUGCAAAUCAUACUCUUCUCCUCGCCAUUCCCACAUCUCACUGUUGCACAUUCGACAUGUACCGUAAAAAUGAACCCGGGUAAAGUUAGAGAAACGACACAAACACACGAAAAACAUUCUUAUAAACAUACUUAAUGAUUGGUUUUCUCUUCUUAAGAAACUAGAACACAAGGCAACAAAAUAAGGGAAUAUGCUCAAAUUUGAACAAGAAACGAGUUGCGUUUUAACUCUGGAUGGAAACUACUAAGUUUACUUUCACUGGAUAAUCAAUGUAACAGUUGGUAGCAGAGGAAGCAGCAAAUUCCAAAGGGGCCUAUCAACAAACAGGUUAAUAACAGCGAUUUAGUGCUCACAACAUUGAAUUGAAGUAGCAAAACCCUAAUUAUAUAAAUACAAAGAUCAAUUAGGCAAACUACAGAGUUCACAAACACUGAAGCUGCUUCAUAUUGCAAAACCCUAACUUUUUUUUUUUUAAACUGCUUGAUCCAGGGGAGAAAAGUUGAAAAGAGGAAAACUCAACUCACCGCAUGCAUCAAAAGUCAAGAUCCCAUCAUUGAAACUUUCUUAAAAAUAGUAAAAGUGAAAUUGUGCAUUUGAUGUCCCAACGAGACCCAAACAAAACAAAACAAAAAAAAGCGACUUUUUAUUACCAAAAAUGCAAAAUUUCUCUCUUUUUUUUUCAAAGCAUCCAAAAUCGAAAAGAAUUUGACAAAUCCACUCCACACCCACUUUGAAUCCCAUUCCCAUCCUUCAUUUACACUUCAAAGGACUAAGACCCACACGAACAAAAUCCAAACUGAGUACAAUAUAUAUGUAAAAAAGGACAAAAAAAAAUAGAAAAAAAAAAACAGAAAGAAACCCACUUGUGAUUGCCACCAUUAUCAUCAAACUCCAUGGUCUUCUUCCUCCUCCUCUUCUGAAUCCAGCAGAGAUUCCCGUGAAAAGAAAAAAUCCAAAAAAGAAAAAGAAAAAGAAAAAGAGAGAGAGAGAGAGAGAGAGAGAGAGGAGAGAGAAGUUUCAACCAAGUCCCUUUCUCUCUCACACUCUCACACUGGGACAGCUGCCACAGAGGUAAUUAUAGCAUAUGAUAAUUUAAUUACAACUAAAUCUUAUAAUAAUAUUUUUUUAAAAAAUAAAUAUAAAAAUAAACUAUAAAUAAUAAUUAAGCACUUAAUUCGAGGGGUGAAAUAAAAAAGGCAACAUAGGAGGAUCAAUGGCGUUACUUGUAAUCAAAUUCCUAAAUAAUAUUUUAAUAUAAUUAGCACUUUUAUUAUUUGUGCGUUACUAUGAAUGCAGAUCAAAUGUACUAAAAUGGAGACAUUUUUCUUUUUCAAAUAUUUCACACUUUAUAUUCAAUUAUUAUAUAUUUCAUUAAUAAGGUUAAAAAAUUCUAAAUUAUCAUUCGAAUUAUUUUACUCUAUAUACGGAGAAAUUAACACUGUAUAAAGUGUAUAAUAAAAUAAUAAUAACAAUUAAAGCAAAAAUAAAAAAAGUAAUUGAGACAUGAAGUACGGGGCGAUUUUGGUAAUUUAGCCUAAUAAUUUUAUGCGGACAUUGGUACGCGCCAGUAUGGACGUGGGCGGACGAGAUGAACUUUAGCGAAAAGGUGAACGGUGGAUCCUACGGUCGCAUGUGACAUUAUAUGCGCAACGUACGUACGAAGCAUCAUCAGUUAAAGGUGAUGGUUUUUGGGCAGGUAAAAGAACCGAGAUACACUUUAUGAACGUGGACCGCUUCUUAACGGUCCUCGCCACGUGGCCACGUGACAUGUCUUGUAUUGUACAUCACUCUUCACAAAUUGCAACAAUACAACAUUUUUUUAUUACUAAAUUAUAUUCUUAUUAAUCUUUCAAAUUUAAUAUGUGACUCGUGAUGUUUUAGUGCUUAAUUUUAAUUUAUUAUAUUUUUUUAUCAAAAAUAUUAAAAUGAAUAUUCGAUAAAUUUAGGUAAGAUAUCUAAAAAUUUUUGUAUAUAAUUUAAUAAAAUAUUAAAUCACAUGGUACUAAAGUGAGAAAGUACGAAACUAUAGGGUACUAACUUGAUACACUUUAAACUAUAUGGUACUAAAGUAAGAAAGUGCGAAACCACAGGAUGGAUAUUUGAAGUUUUCCUUUAAAUUUAAUAUGUUCGUUGUCUAUAAUUCAAAUUCCAAAGUAAAGUUAAAUUCAAAAGACUUUAAAGAGAUUUGCGCGGGUUUGCGAAUAUACCUACUAUAUUUAAAAAGUUUAUGCAUAAAAAUUCAUUAAUUUUUUUAAUUUAUUAUAUAGGCAUUCUAAACAGAUUUAUAAUA
rnacentral:lncRNA from 1 species